AGAUUUCCUCCAGCUCUUCCCAGACUGGAUGCACAGAUGUUGCUAAGCACACUGGGAAAUCAGCCCUUUUCCAGCUGGCUGAGAUUUCUUCCAGUCCAGCACAGUCAGCUGGAGGAAGUAAGAACGCAGAGGACACAAGCUCACUUACACAUGUAGAGGCUUCUGGACCGUCUCAGCCAAGCUCACCAGACCUGCCCAAGAGUUGUGUUAAAUCACCCCUGUUUCAGCUGGC